AGGAACCAAACCCCACUGUACCUGAUCUCAGUGAAAUAAAAUGUUUCAACACUUAAAAUAAGAAAUAUGAAUCAGCAACAAGUAAGGAAGUAGUCCCUGCCCCCAAAGAGUUUACAGUCUAAAUCUGAGAAAGCACAAGGUGCAAGGUUGGAGCUGCAGAAAGAAAAAACAUAUGGAACCGAGAGGUUCUUACAAAUCCAAUAUCCCUACCUUUGAUGAAUAUGUCAAACCAGGGAGCUUUGUGAACAGGGAGUUCUCCAGGUGAAGGAGGAGCAAAUACGGGACCCUUGGGGCCUUUUGCAGUCAAAUAUGCAGAGAUGAUAUUGGUGGAGUAAUCAUCUGCAUCUGGUAUGAACACAUUUUGCAAAUAAGACGACAGAGAGGGGGAUGUUAAUCAAGACAACG